rnacentral:rRNA from 1 species
GUCGAACGCUGGCGGCGUGCUUAACACAUGCAAGUCGAACGCUGAAGCACCAGCUUGCUGGUGUGGAUGAGUGGCGAACGGGUGAGUAAUACGUGAGUAACCUGCCCUUGACUCUGGGAUAAGCCCGGGAAACUGGGUCUAAUACUGGAUGCUACAUGUCACCGCAUGGUGGUGUGUGGAAAGGGUUUACUGGUCUUGGAUGGGCUCACGGCCUAUCAGCUUGUUGGUGAGGUAAUGGCUCACCAAGGCGACGACGGGUAGCCGGCCUGAGAGGGUGACCGGCCACACUGGGACUGAGACACGGCCCAGACUCCUACGGGAGGCAGCAGUGGGGAAUAUUGCACAAUGGGCGAAAGCCUGAUGCAGCGACGCCGCGUGAGGGAUGACGGCCUUCGGGUUGUAAACCUCUUUCAGCAGGGAAGAAGCCACAAGUGACGGUACCUGCAGAAGAAGCGCCGGCUAACUACGUG